CUGAGGCCCGCCGCGGCCCACCUCCACCACCCCGGAGGCGGGCCUGCGGGAAGAGGGGCGACAGGUUGCGGAGGACGUCCCGAGGGAGAGCGUUGCCGGCGUCCGGGGGACCCGCGCCCAGCCUCGCACAAAGCCCGCAGGCUGUCAACCUGGGCCUCGCGCGGACCUGGAAAGUCCGCGUCUGGGGCGAAUGCAAAAGCUUUAAGGAGAAGUUCAUGAAGUGUCUCCGCGACAAUAGAUUCGAAAAUGCUUUGUGCAGAAGUGAGUCGAAAGACUACUUAGAAUGCAGGAUGGAGAGGCAAGUACCUGCUGGCAAAAUGAACGACUUCUGGAACCUCCCAGCGCUCCCAUGGAAACCUUUUUUUUUCCCCAAGAGGUCAUUGCAGCGGGCCUCAUUCAUCCCCCAGGUUCCAAGCCUUUGUCUUUGAGACGUAGAGUGGCUCGCCCCUGGAACGGAAGUCAGCCAGAUCCAGUGGCACUGAAGGGUUCACAGUCAUGGGGACCCUGCGGAGAGGGAGCGCGUCUUACGGGGUUGCAGUCCUGAGUGUCUUCUUUGCACGUUUGGGAGCUGCUGACCCGUCAUUAAGGUUUCAGAAUCGUACAUCAUAAAAAUGCUGACGGAGUCAAAAGAUGUGCAGGUCGUGGGCACAGGGUUUCUUCCUCUCACGUUCUCAGACCAUAAAAACACCGUUUGGUUCCACGUAGCUCAGCAGUGCCUGAAAUGUGACAGGGGAGACAGUGGGCCAUUCAGAAACGGUGAAACAUGGAGGUUUGUUCUGUCCUGACCAGAACUGACCAGCGCUCGCCUUUUUUUUUUUUUUUUUAACAUUUAUUUGGUUUUUUUGAGACAGAGAGAGACAGAGCAUGAACGGGGGAGGGUCAGAGAGAGGGAGACACAGAAUCGGAAACAGGCUCCAGGCUCUGAACUGUCAGCACAGAGCCCGACGCGGGGCUCGAACUCACGGACCGCGAGAUCACGACCUGAGCCGAAGUCGGCCGCCCAGCCGACUGAGCCACCCAGGCACCCCAACGCUCGCUUUUAAGUGAAACAACUGUUUCUGACAGUGAUCCGUUGAGAUUUUACUGAAGAGCUAUUCUUACUCCUAACGGGGAAAAGCAUAGAGCAUAUAAUUAUAUGGUGGGGAUGGGAACUUUUAUUCCUGCCCUUCGAGCCCUUCGUCAGCUCGGUGAGGAGUCCGGUCUUCACACGGCCUUGUCUGAAGAUGGAGUGGCAUAAACCCAUCCAGGCAAAGCCCCCUUGUUGUUUCUCCAUAACAGAGUCCGACAUUUCCCUCAGGGCACAAUCGCUUGUGUCUUUCAGGCCCACAGGUGCGUUGAGGGCUGUCGGUGGACAUGUGGGACGUUGGCCCUUUUGGGAGUGUGGCCCUCAUGGGAGGCCCUCGUUCUGUCUUCUGAGUUGUUCAGGGCCACCGAGUCCAGCUCUCGCCAUCUUUAAAUAGCCCAUUGCUGGGAUCCACGUGUUUAAGUUAUGUGUGUGUGUGUGUAUAUAUAUAUAUAUAUAUAUAUAUAUAUAUAUACAUAUAAAUUUUUUUUUGAACAUUCAGUUUUGAGAGACAGAGCUUGAGCAGGGGAGGGGCAGAAAAGGAGACAGAAUCUGAAGCAGCUCCAGGCUCCAAGCUGUCAGCACAGAGCUCGACGCGGGGCUCACGCUCACUAAUGGCGAAAUUGUGACCUGAGCCUAAGUCAGAUGCUUAACUGAAGGGGCACCCCUAAAUUACUGUCUUUUAAGUCGAUAUACCUUUCAGAAAUGAACUGAGUUUCUUUCUGGUGCUGCCACGCCCUGGAGACAGUUUGACGUUGGUUUCUGACCGCGUGUGAGGGUGUGAGCAGGUCACCUGCCCCCGUGAAGCUCAGGUGAGCCCACAGUGGCCAGCACGCGCAGGCAGCCGCUCCUGCUGGGAGCUGCUCCAGAGAGUUGGGCCGUCUGGGUCCCCAGAGAGGCUCCUGGCUCGUCUGGCAAAGGACAGCAGAAGGGUUCUGACUUUUCUCCCCAUGUGACCUUGGAAGUGGGCUGUCUGCUCUCCACGUGGCCACGCCUCGCUCAGCACGGCCUCUGGAGACCAGCCUGCCCUGAGGCCUGCUGAGGUCAGUGGGGACGGGGUGGCGGCGGGGGGGUGCAGCUCGCCUCUCCGUGACUUCCGUUAUUUCAAGCGGCUUCUCUGGUUGGUCCGGUGACGUUAAGACCAAUGUAGGGGGUACAUGUGUGUUCAGACUCGGUCGGUGAUUUUGGCUGUGGACUUUUGGAUGGUUUUCAGUUCCAAGUCCAUGACCAUCCAGGUUCAGUAUCGAGACUGCACAUUUAUUUCCCUUCCCACUUUUUGUAAACCUUUUUAUUCCUUUCAUGCUGAAAUCCCAGACGUUAUUUACCCCUACGAACGUCCAUAGGCAUCUUUCUUUUAAUGUUUGUUUAGUUUUAAGUGGGAGGGAGGCAGAGAGGGAGGGGACAGAGGCUCCGAAGUGGGCACUGUGCUCAGAGCCCAAUGCAGACCUCGAACUCGUGAACAGUGAGAUCGUGACCUGAGCCACAGUCGGACGCUCAACCAACUCAGCCACCAGGCGCCCCCACCAUAUGCAUCUUUGUAGAAAACUGGACCACAGUGAGAUUUUAGAGUUGCCUCUUGAGGACUUGGGCCGUCUCAGCUUGACGUGGAAGCGUGUGUGCGGUUUGGGUGUGGAUCACACUCGUGGGAAGAGCUGUUAAAUCAGGGAUGACUUUGUUGGCCAAGAAAACAGCAAGUACACUGUGAUCUGCGAUCUCAAGCCUCUGUGAUCUUUUGACUUUGAGUUCCUGCCCCGUGCGGUGGGCAUCCGGGGGCUGUGCCACACACCCUGGCGUGCGAUCCGGGCCUCCUGGCCGGGCUGGAGGAGGCCCGGCGCACGCUCCUUGGAAAGCCUCAGGUCCUAAAAACCUGCACUGUCCCCUUAUGCUGAAGGGGAGGCGUCCACUUCAUCCUUUUGGCUUUAGAACUCGGUAAUCGUUGGAUUGUUGUUGUUGUGUCCUGGCCACAGAGCUGGAUUUUGUGAAGACUCACACGUCUGUAGAAAGGGCCUCUUGAACCGUGUCUCAUUUAGCUUGUAGUGUUUUCCCCCUCGCUCCCUGUUUGUUGCUGAACACACAGGUCCUUCCUGUCGUGUCUCGAGGAGCACUGCUGCUCCCCGUGUUCUUGGUGCCCCCAGCACACUCACGUUCUGCAGCAAGAUAUCUGACGCAGGUCCCGCGGGCCGCGCUCCUCGUGGAUGCUCCGGUGCAGAACUGCUUCUGCCUUUCCAGCUUCUAGAGGCACCCACGCCCCUCGGCUCGUGGCCCUGCUCCCUCUGGAAGCCGGCGAUGCCGUGUCUCUGGCCCGUCCUCCUCCUCCGUCCUUCUGACCAAAGCCAGCGCAGGCUCUCUGAUUUUAAGGGUUCCCGCGUUGCAGCUGAGUCCUCCUGGGGAGUCCGAGGCGGUCUCCCCUCAGCAGCACCUGGUCGGCUCCUGUGUUCCGCCUCAGCCCAUCCCCCUUUGCCGUAAGGACACAGAUAACACAGUCAGUCUGGUCUACAAGUGGACUUUGUACCUUUCAGCGGAUUCCAGCUUUUUGUAACAGAAAUUGCCGUGCAGUUGGCGUGCGCGCACCAGUGGAGGGAACGCAGCGCCACGGCACCUGCCCACUCCCCUGUCCCCGCGGCUGGAGCCCUCGAGGGCACGUACCCUAAACACUUAGUUUCGUUCUCAGUGGGGACGGCCUGGACAGCCCUUGUGAAGCUUGGGUAGAGGUCACCUGCCAGGUUUUGUAUUUCUGCAGGAGGGUAGCCGGCUCGCCUGGAGCCCCACAGAACCCACAGAAAGUGGGUCGUCUGACCGGUGACCAGGUGACUCACGGUGUCCCUCGGUUCCCAGCGUGCUGGCUGAACCCUGGCUGCCUGUGCUGGCCUGCCGGGCUUGCGGGGGGUGCGUGAGCUCAGCGGUGUGUGUGGGGGGUCACAGCGCCAAGUGAUGGUGGCUUGGCGCGGCGGGCGUCCCCUUUCCCGGCCGGGCCUGUUGGUUCCUGCAGGGACACUGAGCUCCCACCAGCAAGCAGGAUGGACGGGUGGCCCCCAAGAGUUGGACCUGUCCCUGCCGCCCCUCCCCCCAAAAACGAAGCAGAAUGAAAGCCAGGCCCUCCCGCCCUGGAGUGUGGGCAGUGAGAGGCUGGACGGGGGCGGCUCUAGCCCAGCAGGUGCUCUGGGACAUCUCGGUCUUCGAGGUCCUGACUUAAAGAGACAUGGUGAGGGGCUGGCACACGGCUGGGCACAGAGGGAGCGGGAGCACAGCGGACACGGCCGCCGGCCAGCUGUGGGGCCACGGCUCGGGCCGUGUGGGGCACGGGGCCUGGGGCAGCAGUGAGAGGAGACAGAGCUGGUGGGCCACGUGUCCCAGUGUUUCUGAGUCACAGGUGAAGCUCACAAGUGCAGUGACCCUUGGACGACACGGUGUGAACGGGACAGGUCCACUUACCACCCAGAUCUCUUGAUCCGUGUAGGACAGUGUUGUAAACGUAUUGCUUCUUGACCAUUAUCUUAACGAGCUUUUUUUGUCCGGCUGACCUGUUGGUAAGAAUACGGCCGGAAGACACACGACACGCAAAAUGCACGUUGUCGCUGAGGCUUCUGGUUGGCGGGGGCUGGAGUCCUUAAGUUCUGGGGAGUCAGGAGUUAGGAAUGGAUUUUCGACUGUGCAGGUGAAUAGUGCCCCUAACCUGUGGCUUGUUCAGGGGUCACUUUACCAAGUGAAGUCUGUCCUGUCCCCGCCCGCCCUGUCCGGUGCAUCUUCCCAGCGACCUGGAAGCCGGGUUGAGGUGGGAGCCCUCGAACGGGACACACGUCUGCCCCAGACUGGCACCCGGCGGGGGGCUCGCGGCGGUUUGCCCCCUUCCUUCGGGGUCCCGGCUCCACCCGGCACCCCAGGGGCUUCGCACACUGUCCGCCAGCGGCCGUCCAUCCGGAGUCCAGAGGCGCAGGUGUCAGCUGGGAGGAGGAGGGCGCAGAGAGGCCCUCGGGGUCCCGGGGGCCUGGGUCCAGCGGUGCCACCGGCCGCAGGCAGUGGGGAUGGGAGCGAAUGCGCAGGCCUCGCACGGACAGUGCUGUUCGUUUUUGUUGCAGGCAGCUGAUGGCACAGGAGCCCCUGGAAAAACUGGGAUUCGGAGAUUUGAUGGAUGGAAAACCAGGGGCAGAAACUAACUCCUGAUGGGAAGAAGUCCACCCACCGGCUGCUGGCUUGUCCCGGGUGGAGCGUGUUGGGUGGCCUUGUCAACUGACGGUUUAUGGUUAGGCGCUGUGACUUCAGAAGAGGUUUCUGGAACGCCCUCCUUGGCAGAAACCUCUCCUCUUGAUGUCUCCCAGGUUAUUUUGAGAAGCGAUUGUCCCCUUUAGGUCUCAUUUUCCCCAGGAGCCUUAGCUUUUAUCUUUACAUUGAGAGAGUUCCGAGGGAGGCCUGUGGCGGGCGGGAGGAAGGAGAGCAGAGUCACGCCCGCUGCGCGAGGGGACACGCGGGCAUCCGCGACGCGGUGACUCCCUCUGUGGUACCGUCCGUAGCUUCUCAGUACUGACAUGCUGAAUGCUAGCGGUUUCAGCCCAUCACAUAGACGCUGCCCGAAAACCAUUUCCUGGCAAAAUGGUUUCCUUCUGUGCCCAUUUAUUUCCCGUGUUUUUUUUUUUUUAAGCAAAAUAUAAAAUAUAAACUUGGAAAUAAGAUUGUUAACUUUUGACA